rnacentral:rRNA from 1 species
GACGAACGCUGGCGGCGUGCCUAAUACAUGCAAGUUGAGCGCCGAAGGUUGGUACUUGUACCAACUGGAUGAGCAGCGAACGGGUGAGUAACGCGUGGGGAAUCUGCCUUUGAGCGGGGGACAACAUUUGGAAACGAAUGCUAAUACCGCAUAAAAACUUUAAACACAAGUUUUAAGUUUGAAAGAUGCAAUUGCAUCACUCAAAGAUGAUCCCGCGUUGUAUUAGCUAGUUGGUGAGGUAAAGGCUCACCAAGGCGAUGAUACAUAGCCGACCUGAGAGGGUGAUCGGCCACAUGGGAAAUGAGACACGGCCAAAACCCCUACGGGAGGCAGCAGGAGGGAAUCGUAGGCAAUGGAAGAAAGUCUGACCGAGCAACGCCGGGUGAGUGAAGAAGGUUUUCGGAUCGUAAAACUGUGUUGGUAGAGAAGAACGUUGGUGAGAGGGGAAAGCUCAUCAAGGGACGGUAACGACAGAGAAAGGGACGGCUAACUACGU